CAAGGAACGAAGAAUGCCGAGUCUCUCUCUCUCUCUCUCUUUCUCGAGCGCCUCGGCCAAGAGGCCCACCGGAAGCAGUUGCUGGGUCCCGCUCAGAUCUGCCUCGGCCUUCUCCUCCGCCAAGAGCCCCGCCAGACGCAGCUACUGGGUCCCGAGCUCAGAUCUACCUCUGUCGUCGCCUCCCCCGCU